CUCGCGGAACAAGCCCGCGCCCCCAGGAACUNNNNNNNNNNNNGCNCGCUGCCGUCGAGCUAAUCGAAAGUGGUGGCUAGCNGCGCCGGUCGUAACGGUCCCUGAGCUUAAACCCGGUUGGCGCUCGCCCUUCGCGUGCCCUCCGGUUAUAGGCGGGGGUGCAGGACGUCGGGGCGCUCCCCCCUCCCCCMCCCCCGCUGCUACGCACUGUGGGUCCGUCUGCACGGGAGCCGGAUUUCCGAACCCCGCGUUGAACGCAAGUUUCUGAGCUACCAAGUGCCCUAAGACGUUAAGUGUGGUUCAUAGCGUAAAGCGAUGCAAGAAGUAGCUACGCUCUCGGUUCUAUAGGCAACGGCUCUCAGCAUAACCUAUACACUUUCUUCCGCCACGGAGGCCNUCCGUUUGGGCGCCCCNAGCGAGAGAGCAAUUCAAAGGAACCGCGCAAGGCGCGGCCCCCAAGCAAUCCCSCGGCGCCCCUUACGUCCUGCUCAGGGCGUGAGGUACGCUGCCACCNCCCCUCCUCUGCUCCGAGGGGGGCGUUGCCACUAAAGUGAGCAAGCGCCCAGUAAGACGAUCCGUCCAAAGCUGUUACUAGGAAAGGCGUCCAAGUGGAUGCCUUUGGAACAAUGCUGAA
rnacentral:misc_RNA from 1 species